rnacentral:rRNA from 34 species
UAGUGGCGAACGGGUGAGUAACACGUGGGCAAUCUGCCCUUCACUCUGGGACAAGCCCUGGAAACGGGGUCUAAUACCGGAUAACACUGCGGAUCGCAUGGUCUGCGGUUAAAAGCUCCGGCGGUGAAGGAUGAGCCCGCGGCCUAUCAGCUUGUUGGUGAGGUAGUGGCUCACCAAGGCGACGACGGGUAGCCGGCCUGAGAGGGCGACCGGCCACACUGGGACUGAGACACGGCCCAGACUCCUACGGGAGGCAGCAGUGGGGAAUAUUGCACAAUGGGCGAAAGCCUGAUGCAGCGACGCCGCGUGAGGGAUGACGGCCUUCGGGUUGUAAACCUCUUUCAGCAGGGAAGAAGCGAAAGUGACGGUACCUGCAGAAGAAGCGCCGGCUAACUACGUGCCAGCAGCCGCGGUAAUACGUAGGGCGCAAGCGUUGUCCGGAAUUAUUGGGCGUAAAGAGCUCGUAGGCGGCUUGUCACGUCGAUUGUGAAAGCCCGAGGCUUAACCUCGGGUCUGCAGUCGAUACGGGCUAGCUAGAGUGUGGUAGGGGAGAUCGGAAUUCCU